GGCCCCAUCGUCUAGGGGUUAGGACGGGUGGUUCUCAGCCAUCAAGCAGGGGUUCGAAUCCCCUUGGGGCUA
rnacentral:tRNA from 7 species